rnacentral:rRNA from 1 species
AUAAUUUAGAUAAAUUUUUCUCGAAUUAAGAAGUUUUAAUUAAAUAUUAAUAUAAUUUUUUCAUAAAUUUUUAUAAUUUUUAAUUGGAAAUGAAAUGUUAUUCGUUUUUUAUUAUAUCUAGUUUUUUAAGAAAAAAAUUUAAUUUUAUUAUUAUUAAUUUAUUAAUUAAUUUUUAGUUAAUAAUUUUUAGUAUUUAAUAUAUAAAGGGUUGAGCUUUUAUAUAGAUCAUUAAAAAUUUAAUUUUUAUAAUUUUUGUAUAAUUUGAAUUGUUAAUCAUUUAAAUAAUUUAAUAGUUAGUUUUAUUUAAUUAUAAUAUUUAUAUUUUUUUUAAUUAUUUUAUUAAAAAAAAAAGUUUAAUUUUAUUUCUUUUUGUAUUAUGAUUAAAUUAGUAGAUUUUAUGUAAAUUUAAAAUUAUUUUUAUUAGGUAGUGAAAAGGAAUUCGGCAAAUAUAUUUUUCGCCUGUUUAUUAAAAACAUCUCUUUUUGAUAAUAAUUUAAAGUUUAAUCUGCUCAAUGAAAAUUAAAUUGCCGCAGUAUUUUGACUGUGCAAAGGUAGCAUAAUAAUUAGUUUUUUAAUUGAAAACUGGAAUGAAUGAUUGGACGAAAAAAUUUCUGUCUUUUUAUUAUUUUUAUUGAAUUUUACUUUUAAGUUAAAAGGCUUAAAUUUUUUUAAAAGACGAGAAGACCCUAUAGAGUUUUAUUUUUAAUUUUUUUAUUUUUAUUAGAAUUUAAUUUAGUAAUUGAGUUAAAAAUUUAGUUGGGGUGACUAGUUGAUUAAUCUAACUCUUUUAAUUUUGAAUCAAUUAUUUUUGAUUAUAAAAUCUAUAUUUUUAAUUUUAAAAUAAAUUACCUUAGGGAUAACAGCGUAAUUUUUCUUUAAAGUUCUUAUUAAA